UGGUGUGUGUUCUGGUCGUAGACAACACAGGGGGCGAACAAGCUUCCUUCAACCAAACCCUAACUAGCCAAAAAUCAAGCAAUUGGAAGGCCAAAUCAGUCCCAAAUCGAAAUCUAAGUUUAUUUUAGUGAUCACCUAAGUGAAGGGAUCACAAGUUUGACUCUGACAAGCUAGGUAGAAGCUUGGAAAUGAACGGGUCAAAUGGAUACAAGUUCAAGUAUAAAGCUCGCAAGGAUGCAAGGUAAGUAAAGCUUACACCUAAUUUAAGUGUACGUGUUUAUUUUAUAGGUGAUAAAUAUGACAAUGGAUUAUGUUUUAAAAAAAGGGUUCUGACACGAACCGAAAUGAGUUGGAACGAAUAUAAACGAUCAAAACUAUGGUUAAUGGUAAAAAGAGGCAAAAUGGUAAUUUAGUCAUGAAUUGACUAAGAAUUUAUAAGUUUUCUUAAAGUUACCUAAUAGCGUAACUAGAAAUGGGAAAAAGGGGUAAAAGGGUAAUAUAGUCACGUGAUGACUAAAUAUAAGUUGAGAUUAAAUGGAUACCCACGGCGUAAGCUGAAAUGGGUUAAAUAUGUAAGAAAAAGGAAAUUUUGUGGUAAAAUCCGAAAUGGGUAGUUAAAAACCAUGCUUUGAAACAAAUGUGAAUGUUUGGUCAUAUAGGCCAAACGGGUCAAAUGGUGCUGAUAACACCAUUUGACAAUAUUGACUAACGUUGGUUGUUAAGUCGUAUGUUCACAGGAGUGAACCGGAAGUGGAUAAUUGUGUCGCUAUAAAGUAGCGACUAAUAAAAGCAAGGUACAAAAUGGGUUUAUAUGUUGACCCGAGCCGGGUGAAUGUAGCUGCCAUCCGGAUGUCGAUCAAGCAAUGAAGUGAACCAAACACUAUGCAGUUACAAGCUUCCACACAUAGUUUCGUCGUUAUUUAUAAACGGCGAACUCAAUUACAUUACAUUGUAUUGUUCUUAAAUUGUAAAAGUUUUAAUAAACCCGUAUUUUUCAAUAUAUGUGUAUCCAUAAUUACAUAUUUAUUUUCGUAAA